rnacentral:rRNA from 1 species
GACUAACGCUGGCGGCAGGCCUAACACAUGCAAGUCGAACGAACCCUUCGGGGUUAGUGGCGGACGGGUGAGUAACACGUGGGAACGUGCCUUUAGGUUCGGAAUAACUCAGGGAAACUUGUGCUAAUACCGAAUGUGCCCUUCGGGGGAAAGAUUUAUCGCCUUUAGAGCGGCCCGCGUCUGAUUAGCUAGUUGGUGAGGUAAUGGCUCACCAAGGCUACGAUCAGUAGCUGGUCUGAGAGGAUGACCAGCCACAUUGGGACUGAGACACGGCCCAAACUCCUACGGGAGGCAGCAGUGGGGAAUCUUGCGCAAUGGGCGAAAGCCUGACGCAGCCAUGCCGCGUGGAUGAUGAAGGUCUUAGGAUUGUAAAAUCCUUUCACCGGUGAAGAUAAUGACUGUAGCCGGAGAAGAAGCCCCGGCUAACUUCGUGCCAGCCGCCGCGGUAA